AUUGAACGCUGGCGGCAUGCUUUACACAUGCAAGUCGAACGGCAGCACGGGUGCUUGCACCUGGUGGCGAGUGGCGAACGGGUGAGUAAUACAUCGGAACGUACCUGAUAGUGGGGGAUAACUAAGCGAAAGUUUAGCUAAUACCGCAUAAGCCCCGAGGGGGAAAGUGGGGGACCAGAAAUGGCCUCACGCUAACAGAGCGGCUGAUGGCUGAUUAGCUAGUUGGUGAGGUAAAGGCUCACCAAGGCGACGAUCAGUAGCGGGUCUUAGAGGACGAUCCGCCAAACUGGAACUGAGUCACGGUCCAGACUCCUACGGGAGGCAGCAGUGGGGAAUCUUGGACAAUGGGCGCAAGCCUGAUCCAGCAAUGCCGCGUGGGUGAAGAAGGCCUUCGGGUUGUAAAGCCCUUUUGUUUGGGAGCAAAGCUUACCGGUUAAUACCUGGUGAGGAUGAGAGUACCAAAAGAAUCAGCACCGGCUAACUACGUGCCAGCCGCCGCCGUAACAC
rnacentral:rRNA from 1 species